rnacentral:lncRNA from 1 species
GCACGAUCUCCUGCGCCCCUGGAACUGUGGACGGUCUCCUGCGCCCCUGGACUGGUGCACGAUUUCCUGCACCCCUGGACAGGUGCAUGGUCCUCGCCUCUCGGCCCCUGUUCCCCGAAACGCACCGACCUGCUCCACUUGGAGUGUUCGGCAGAUGAAGGGUCCUCGAUCCCUGGGCACGGGGGCGCCCGCCAAGGUGCUGGGGUGACGACUUGUUGACCCUGUGACUCCAACUCCAAGCCCUGUCGAGCAGAGGCGAUUACAAUGUCACAGCAAAGCACCAUGGGCAAGAAGAAACGUUAUCCUGAAAGCAACCCUGGACUCUCCGGAAAAAAGGAAAAGCCACCAGAAUUGUCGCUGGAGUGUCUUCCUGCCAGGGUGCCAAGAAGAAAUCAGUUUGGAAGAAGACAGAUAGCUCCUCUUGGCUCCAUAGAAAGAAACCUGCCCAAAUUUCCUUUUUUCUUUUUUUUUUUUACGUGCCUACACACAAAUCCCCAAUUUAUAAGCCGUUAAAGAUGACCCUUCUACCCCCAAAUUUCUUUUUUCUUCGUAGACAUGCGCUUUUUGGAGAUUUAUUUUGCUGGUAAUCUCCGCGGUGAAUAGGCAGGCCAAAAAGAGAGAGACAGCAAGACGACCCCUCACACACCAACCGCCUCUCAAAUCCGAGAAACCGCGGAGGCGCCUGUUGAAGCGAGCUCGAAGUUCAUCACAAGAGCACUUUAUUUUUAUAGUUUUAAUCAAUAUCUAUAUUUCGUGAACUUUAACAUUUUCUUAAUUGUGCAAUAUUUCAAACCUACCAAAAACAAGGCAAACACCCGUGUGACGCUCUUGCUCCAACCCUUCUUUUUAAGCAAGCAUUACAGAGGUAGCGAAAACCCCAUCUGCCGGCCCUUCUCCCUCUGCCCCUCUCCAAAGGGAACAAUUCUGAAGUUGGUGUGAAUCCUGCUUAAUCAUGGUCUUAAAUGUCAGGACAUAUGUGUAUGUCCAUAAAUGUUUUAAUGUAGCCUUUCCCUCUGAGUCUUUUUUUUACACCAUUAAUCAGAGAAAAAUCACUAACUAAAACCAAGAAAAUAUUCUUGUUACAUUGCUAAGUGUUUAGAAGGUCAAAAGGAUUUCUGCCUGCUUGUGGCAAUCGGAGGGAAUAAUAACAAAGGGAUUAGACAGCGGGUAGUAAACAGCCUCUAGGUUACAAACCCUUCCAUGGUUACCAGUCAAUAGGAAAACAAAGCCAAUAAUACCCCCCUCCUUCACUGGGUACAAGCGAAUUGGAGGAAAUGGAAUCUAGGUUAACACUUCUUUGGGCAUGUAAAAUAAAAGCCCUAUAUGGUAGCAAAUACCUUUUUUGAAUGGUCU